rnacentral:rRNA from 1 species
ACGCGUAUGAUGUCUUCGGACCAAAGAUUUAUCGCCUAGGAUGAGCCCGCGUCGGAUUAGCUAGUUGGUGGGGUAAAGGCCUACCAAGGCGACGAUCCGUAGCUGGUCUGAGAGGAUGAUCAGCCACACUGGGACUGAGACACGGCCCAGACUCCUACGGGAGGCAGCAGUGGGGAAUAUUGGACAAUGGGCGAAAGCCUGAUCCAGCAAUGCCGCGUGAGUGAAGAAGGCCUUCGGGUUGUAAAGCUCUUUUACCCGGGAAGAUAAUGACUGUACCGGGAGAAUAAGCCCCGGCUAACUCCGUGCCAGCAGCCGCGGUAAUACGGAGGGGGCUAGGCGUUGUUCGGAAUUACUGGGCGUAAAGCGCACGUAGGCGGCUUUACAAGUCAGGGGUGAAAGCCCGCGGCUCAACCGCGGAAUUGCCCUUGAGACUGUAUCGCUUGAACACGGGAGAGGUGAGGUGGAAUUCCGGAGUGUAGGAGGUGAAAUUCGUAGAUAUUCGGAAGAACACCAGUGGCGAAAGGCGGCUCACUGGA